rnacentral:rRNA from 1 species
AGCCUGAUCCAGCCAUGCCGCGUGUGUGAAGAAGGCCUUCGGAUUGUAAAGCACUUUAAGUUGGGAGGAAGGGCAGUAACCUAAUACCUUGCUGUUUUGACGUUACCGACAGAAUAAGCACCGGCUAACUCUGUGCCAGCAGCCGCGGUAAU